rnacentral:rRNA from 1 species
UACGAAGGGGCUAGCGUUGCUCGGAAUCACUGGGCGUAAAGGGUGCGUAGGCGGGUCUUUAAGUCAGGGGUGAAAUCCUGGAGCUCAACUCCAGAACUGCCUUUGAUACUGAGGAUCUUGAGUUCGGGAGAGGUGAGUGGAACUGCGAGUGUAGAGGUGAAAUUCGUAGAUAUUCGCAAGAACACCAGUGGCGAAGGCGGACUCACUGGCC